rnacentral:lncRNA from 1 species
CUGCUCAUGCCCCMUGCUAGUAUGAGUACUGCAUCAAAACACAUUUCCUCCCUUGCAAAAAAUGCUGACUACCCUGUCUGYCCUGAUAAAAACCCCAGCAGCUGUCAGAGGGAUCCAUGACUCGCUGGGCAUCGGAGCUGUUCCUCCAGCCGGAGGAACCCACUGGCCUUGGCUUGCCCGCUGCCGUGGAGCAGCCGGGAGCGGGUGGCAGCUGAGAGAGGCACAGUCAUUACUACAACAGAUGGGAGAGGCAUGACAUUACAUGGCAGGGCUAUUAUUUACCAAGCACUCRUGUUUGUCAUGGCUGAAGAUGACAUCUUAUUAAGAAGUCACRACACUGGGGGAUUUUUUUAAGCCUGGGGGCCAAGAAGGCUAAUGAAUAGGGAUAGCUCUAGGAAUAGAUGGAGGGUGAUGCCAUUUUCAGGUUGCAGGCAAAGCUGACUAACAUUUCACAAACCCGGUUUCUGGGAGACUUCCAGGCAGUGGCGUGUCUCCCUCUUCCUGYUUAAGGGUGGGUACUCACUUGCCGCAGCCUGUUUCACUGCUUUUGUGCCGGGUCAGGUUGAAGCAGCCGUCUCAAGAGACCCUGGCACGAAGGAGCAAAGCCCAAGCUGUGGUGCCAAAGAGCACCCGCCUGUACCCAAUGACUAUGCAUGGCCAAACACAGGUGCUCCUGGAAAUGAUGGCCCUAGAUGAGAUGUGUGCUGCAAAUGGCUUUUGGACAGUUUUCCCKGAAUCCCACAUUGCAGGUGUCUUAGAAGAUAGCAGAAGCAAUAGCUGGGGGAGCACAGGAAGAAGGACGCUGCUGCUCACAUCACCCAGUGACGCGUGCCCUGAGGACCCUAUCCCUUCAGCCCCUCUCCUCUACCUCACUGACCCGAGAGGACAUCAGUGUUUCCCCAAGCUGCAAGAAGCAUCCAGCAGCUUCAAGGAAUUCAUCCGCAGCACUAAAGYGGGCUCUGCAUGCCAGCUGCUGUGCCCUGAAUACCCUUUGGAUCUUGCUGCCCCGCURCGAUAUCAGGGAUGGGACUUCUGGCUAUUUCAGCAAGAAAUACACUGCCCAGCCUUUCUGCCAAGAUGAAAAACUCUGUGGUCUUGUGGAUGAGGCUGCAGAGAUGCAGCCUGCUCCUGGGGGUGUCAGUUUGCUUGUCUGUGCUUCAGYUUCCCUGUUACACUCUGUGUUUCCCAAUCAUUUCUGUAAUGUGCUUUGAGUGUUAAUGAAAAGAUGUACAAUUUAGCAGUUUGAUCUUUUGCUGAGGCAACUUUUCCUUUCAUGCCAGGGCUAACACUAAGUUCAGCAGGAAAAUGUGAAAGCCUGUGAUUCCCAAGGAUAACAAGCAGUCCCUGAAGAAGCGGCUUCUAGAUGCCUUAACCUGGCUUGUACAACUAGUAGAAAAAUAAAAACCCUUCAUUUUGUGCUGAGCUGAAGGAU